GUUUUUAUGGCUUAAAUUAAAGCGUGGCACUGAAGAAGCUAAGAUAGAUUUUAAGACAUCUUGUAAACA
rnacentral:tRNA from 1 species